rnacentral:rRNA from 1 species
AACGGGGGGAGCGGGCGUUACUCAACAUUAUUGGGCGUAAAGGGCAAGUAGACUGUUUUGUAGAGUUGAAGAUAAAAGGUCAAAUUUCAAGUUUGUAAAUAUCUUCAAAACGCAGGAACUAGAGUUCAAUAGAGGGUAGCGGUAUUCCGAGUGGAGAGGUGAAAUUCGUAGAGAUUGCGGAGGACCACCAAUAGGCGAAGGCGGCUAUCUGGGUUGAGACUGACGUUGAAGGGCGAAGGCACAGGGAGCAAACAGG